AUUGAACGCUGGCGGCAGGCCUAACACAUGCAAGUCGAACGAGUGGCGGACGGGUGAGUAAUGUCUGGGAAACUGCCUGAUGGAGGGGGAUAACUACUGGAAACGGUAGCUAAUACCGCAUACCAUCGGAUGUGCCCAGAUGGGAUUAGCUUGUUGGUGGGGGAACGGCUCACCAAGGCGACGAUCCCUAGCUGGUCUGAGAGGAUGACCAGCAACACGGGAACUGAGACACGGACCAGACUCCUAGGGGAGGAAGCAGUGGGGAAUAUUGCACAAUGGGCGCAAGCCUGAUGCAGCCAUGCGGCGUGUGUGAAGAAGGUCUUCGGAUUGUAAAGCACUUUAAGAUGGGAGGCGUUACCAACAGAAUAAGCACCGGCUAACUCCGUGCCAGCAGCCGCGGUAAUUC
rnacentral:rRNA from 1 species